GACGAACGCUGGCGGCGUGCUUAACACAUGCAAGUCGAACGAAGUGGCGAACGGGUGAGUACUACGUGGGUAACCUGCCCUCCUUUUUGUGAUAAGCCUUGGAAACGGGGUCUACUACCGAAUAAAGGGGGAUGGGCUCGCGGCCUAUCAGCUUGUUGGGGGGGUGAUGGCCUACCAAGGCGGUGACGGGUAACCGGCCUGAGGGGGGGAGGGGCCUGAUUGGGAGUGGGAUACGGCCCGGAGUCCUACGGGAGGCAGCAGUGGGGGAUAGUGCACAAUGGGCGAAAGCCUGGUGCAGCGACGCAGCGUGGGGGAUGGAGGCUAUCGGGUUGUAAACCUCUUUCGAUAGCGAACGGGUAGGUGGAGAAGAAGCGCCGGCUAACUACGUGCCAGCAGCCGCGGUAAUUC
rnacentral:rRNA from 1 species